UUGAAGGGGUGAUUGUAAAGAUGGAGAAGAUGCAGGAUGGCGGUUUUAUUGUUGACGAGGGGCUGCGAAGGACGACUGAAGUCGUGGUAUCAGCGACACCUUGUUUGCCGAGUUAAAAAGCAGAUGACGUUAGAAACAAACAUCGAGAAAAAGAAUAAUACAACAUAUCACCCUUACUUGCUGAAUGAAUCCAAUUUAGAAAACAUAUAUAUUUGACUAAUCUGAUUACUUGUAGCAGGCCUGGCGCUAUCGUCAAAGAACAAACAAGUCCGUCCAAGUUGGGACUCCGGAACCAGCUGAAAAAUCUAGAUUCCAUGGAGCUAAGUCAGCUCUGCGGUUUGUCACUGCUGUCACAAGACCAACGCUUUAAAAUAGAGAAGUGUUUUUACUAAAAUAAAGGCACAAAGCGUCUCUCCAAAUGAGGAGUUACUUGACGCAAGCUUAACGUACGAAGUACGUUAAAAAGCGCGACUCAUCUCAUCAGAUUGGUCCUGUCUGCACGAGAUAAAUCAUUCUUCUUGCACGUGAAGUAGUCACGAAAUCUAGUCACAAUAUAAGAAUUAUUUUUAAUUUUAUUUUCGGUAUAGUCAGUAAUCUUCUCGUCAUUUUAUGAAAUUAUACUCCGAGUUGAGCUCACUCACUCAUUCAUCCACACUUGAUUACAUCGCGAGCGAACACGGUUCUUCUUGUUUUGAUAACAUUUAAGAAUGAGUUAAUCUUCUACUUUCCUGGCUUACGUGAAUGGAGACCAUUGUCAACGUGCCCCGCUUUCAAGCAACUCGACUCACAGCGAUAAAGUGCCAAUCUCGCUUUCUGUGCCUCAAAGAUUUGUCGCAAUUGAAUCCAACUUUAAAUCGGUUUAAUUCUUUCAUAACAUUUAAGUCUGUGGUAGUCGAAACUGCGCGAGGGAGUCAGCGAUACGCGCAAAAGACAGAAUUUUAUUAAGCUGAGAAGCAUUUGAAAAAUAAACACAAAUUCUUUUAGAAAAGAGGAGAAGUCAAACCAGUUUCAGAGAAGAGAAAAAGAUAACAAGAAUAUUUCAGUGAAUUGCGGCCAUCGGUUCAGUAUGACGUCAAAAUGAAUAGAAACAUUAUUUAUGGAGUAAUAAUUUGAAUGUUGAAAGAAACCGAUACAGACGAAUACUUGCCGUUUGCUGACCAAUGUAGAGUGUAAAAUCGUAUAAAGGUGUUUCAAUUCAUUGAUAGAAGAGGAGAUUCUGACUACAAAGAUUUAGAAAAAAUUUUAAGUUUUUGAGAUGUAAUAUUUUUUUCGGAUAUAACGCUGUUGAGAAACCUUCUGAUUCACAUAUCAACGUAAUUUUUUGCUCAAAAUCAAAUUAUUGAAUAAAAUCACUUUAUAACUUGUAGAUUCUGAUAUUUUUCAAAAUGCUGUAUUUCGCAAGUUUGAAGUGGUCCCGAAAUCUCGUCACAACACGAGAAAUUGAUUCGAUUUUAAUUUUCGUAUAUUCGGAAAUAUUAUCGUCAUUUAAUAAAAUUAUUUCACCCCAACUUGA